UACGGGGGGGGCAAGCGUUGUUCGGAAUUACUGGGCGUAAAGGGCUCGUAGGCGGCCAACUAAGUCAGACGUGAAAUCCCUCGGCUUAACCGGGGAACUGCGUCUGAUACUGGAUGGCUCGAGUUUGGGAGAGGGAUGCGGAAUUCCAGGUGUAGCGGUGAAAUGCGCAGAUAUCGGGAGGAACACCGGUGGCGAAGGCGGUUCUCUGGGCCUGACCUGACGCUGAGGAGCGAAAGCGUGGGGAGCGAACAGG
rnacentral:rRNA from 1 species